rnacentral:rRNA from 1 species
UACGUAGGGGGCAAGCGUUGUCCGGAAUUAUUGGGCGUAAAGCGCGCGCAGGCGGUUCUUUAAGUCUGGUGUUUAAACCUGGGGCUCAACUUCAGGUCGCACUGGAAACUGGGGGACUUGAGUGCAGAAGAGGAGAGUGGAAUUCCACGUGUAGCGGUGAAAUGCGUAGAUAUGUGGAGGAACACCAGUGGCGAAGGCGACUCUCUGGGCUGUAACUGACGCUGAGGCGCGAAAGCGUGGGGAGCAAACAGG